ensembl:lncRNA
GGGCUAGCCUUGAGGAGCUGCUCUCUUCCACAUCAUCUGACUGCAUCACCAACAGCUCUUCUCUAGAUGUGUAAAACAGAAUGGCCACGGGAUGGCACUGGUGCCUGAGGAAUGACUGAGAUGAGCCGCGAUAGCACUGUGCGUACCCCCGGUCCGAAAGCGAGCCUGGCCACAGUACUGGGUGGUCAAAGGGGAAGUCCUGCUGAAACCACCGGGAACAGUAUUUUAUGUAAGAAUGAGCACUGCUGAAGUGUAAGAAACAUGGGGUGUUAGUCCUAAUUCCAGGCAAAUAUGCGACUGCCUUUUGCUUAGUGGCAGAACUCAGAUUUCGUUUGAGCUCUCUGGACCUUUCUUUCCCUCUUCAAACAUUUACAUGGACUUUCUUCUUCUGAAAAGCUUCUCCUUAGCUUCCAGGCUGCUGCCAAUAUCUGGUGGUGGCCAAGCUACUGCGCUUCCUGACUGCAGCAUGAUGUUCUUGCUGGCAAGCAGGACACACAAGUGGAUGCAUGGUUUUUGACCUGUUUAUUUCAUGACUUCUGAGGAACUGCAACAACAUCCCAUGUGUAGGGUCCCAUCAUUGCCCCUGCAUGAGCUGGUCUUUGCACUGCUUCAGAAAAGCUUUCUGUGCUCCUGACAGAGGAGAACAUCAUAGUCGGUAGAUGACAGACCCCAAAAUACCAACCCAAUAUGUAAUAGUCUGGGACCCUAACUUGUCCUUCCUACUUUGAUUAGAUUAUAGAGCAAUUUGGAUUAGUUGCAGUAGUAAUAAAAAGAAAUAUCUUUCUCUAUGAAGGCAUAGAAGCUUUUGUUGACAAAGAAGGGAGCUUCUAAUAUGGGCUGCUACUUUGUGUUGAUUCAUUAAACCUUGGUUUUAGUGUAAAUGGUGACUGUGUUUCCAAGAUAUAUGCCUGUUGAUAGAACAAUCUGUAUCUCUGUUCAUUACUGGUUGAAGUUCCAGCUUUGGAAUAUGCAAGAGUAUCUCAGAGCUUUGUAGCAGGUUAUAGGCCCUCACAUCAAAUCUUUCCAUGGUUAGAAGCAGUCAUGCUGGCACUGAUUGUUCCAUAGACUUGACAAGGGAAAUUAAUGGACUGUUUACCUACCAACAUUCAUGCCCCAGUAAUCAUGGCUGUGUUGGGCAGUGAGAGUUUUGCUUGCUAGCUGUCCUGUGUCGUGACAAUGGCAG